rnacentral:rRNA from 1 species
UACGUAGGUCCCGAGCGUUGUCCGGAUUUAUUGGGCGUAAGGCGAGCGCAGGUGGUUUAUUAAGUCUGGUGUAAAAGGCAGUGGCUCAACCAUUGUAUGCAUUGGAAACUGGUAGACUUGAGUGCAGGAGAGGAGAGUGGAAUUCCAUGUGUAGCGGUGAAAUGCGUAGAUAUAUGGAGGAACACCGGUGGCGAAAGCGGCUCUCUGGCCUGUAACUGACACUGAGGCUCGAAAGCGUGGGGAGCAAACAGG